GACGAACGCUGGCGGCGUGCUUAACACAUGCAAGUCGAACGGAAAGGCCCCUUUGGGGGUACUCGAGUGGCGAACGGGUGAGUAACACGUGAGUAACCUGCCCUUGACUUCGGGAUAACUUCAGGAAACUGGGGCUAAUACCGGAUAGGAAUCCUUGCUGCAUGGUGGGGGUUGGAAAGCUUCGGCGGUUUUGGAUGGACUCGCGGCUUAUCAGCUUGUUGGUGGGGUAGUGGCUUACCAAGGCUUUGACGGGUAGCCGGCCUGAGCGGGCGACCGGCCACAUUGGGACUGAGAUACGGCCCAGACUCCUACGGGAGGCAGCAGUGGGGAAUAUUGCACAAUGGGCGGAAGCCUGAUGCAGCAACGCCGCGUGCGGGAUGACGGCCUUCGGGUUGUAAACCGAUUUCAGCAGGGGCGAAGCUUGUGGUGACGGUACCUGCAGAAGAAGCACCGGCUAACUACGUG
rnacentral:rRNA from 1 species